CUCAAGAUAGAAAACCAAGUCCAGGAAACACCAUAUGUAUGCUCAUUAUUCCUCAAUUAAAACAACAUUUUCUCAGAAAACUGGAAAUUACAUGGAUAAUGUACCACACUCUUCAAUAUUAUUGUUGUUACGAAGAGAUAAUAUGCUCCUUAUAGUCCCAUCCAUACUACUUAGAGCAAGUACAAUAGGAUGACGUAGGCGGGCUGUGAUAAAUUGGAAAAGAAAGAAGAAAAAAGAGAAGAGAAACGGGCUAUAAACUAAUAGCCGGCUGUAACACGUGCUAAUAGACACUUUGUGAAAGAGGAUGAUGGCGACCGAAGCAUCGAGGACGGGUACGACAGUGAAAAAACCAAGAGCUGCCGAGGGCCAGCGAGAUGGCCUCGUCCCGCAUCUGUAACACCAUAAAAAACUCAAUGUCUGAACAAAAGAAAAGAAAGGCUGGAUUUGUGAUGCAGAUUCGAGAAGAUACAUACAAGACGAUUAAGGUGCCGGUUAUGAACAUCACCAAGGACGUUCCUGCCGCCUCAGUGCACGCACACAACCUGAGGCUCGUGUCUCCACCGCCGCGCGCUAACCCGCAUCUGCUCUUCAGCCAGCAAAUUUGUGAGCGUUAAUACGCCAUUCUGCCCUGUCAAAUGACAAUAUAUUUCUGAUCAUUUAAGAUUCUGGCUACAAUAGGAGGAAGACGUAGGUGGCAGGAGAAGCAUAUGCCCCUGACCGUUGUGUAGACAACUAUGUACAUGCAUAUACAAUACAUAUAAUUAUUAGAAUUGCCAGCUGAAUAGAAAAUUCAGUUUGAAUUUCAUGUCGACAUAAAAUCCUAAUGUAUUAAGAUUAAGAAAAUUCUAUUUACCAAAUCUAAUAAACACAAUGGCUAGAACAAAGAAUAGUUGUAUCUACAUAAAAUUAUAAAAUGCACACGAACAGGUCCACAAGAACAGAGUCAACCAAAGGGUUUAAUCCGCAACCUCACCAUCAUCCUGAGAUCGUUGCUAUCCAUCUGGUGGCAAAUCCAUCAGCGCUAUGGAGUACGACUAUAGAAAAUAUUGAGUCAGUCAGUCAGAUCAAGGUUUCAAGAGAAUCCAUUCAUGGAGCAAGGGAGGGGGAGCAGACCAGUAACAGGGGAAGGAGCAGAGUGGUCCAGGCCGCCGUCGCCAUGGGAUGUGAGUCCUCCCCGCAUCUGGGAAGGUGCAGCGAUCCCACAUUGGAGCGUGGCAGCGCUCGUGGCUAGGGCAAAGAGGAGGGCCGGCGCAUGGAGGAGCGACUGGAGGCAGCGAAAUUGGUGGGAAGCGGCGUCGGCGCCGAAGAAAGGGGUCGACGGGGUCGUGCCCUCGUGGGAGAUCGAGG
rnacentral:lncRNA from 1 species